rnacentral:rRNA from 1 species
AUAUCAAUAAGCGGAGGAAAAGAAACCAACAGGGAUUGCCUUAGUAACGGCGAGUGAAGCGGCAAAAGCUCAAAUUUGAAAUCUGGCAGUAAUGUCCGAGUUGUAAUUUGAAGAAGGUAACUUUGGUGAUAGCUCUUGCAUAUGUUCCUUGGAACAGGACGUCAUAGAGGGUGAGAAUCCCGUAUAUGGUGAGAUGACAUAUUACUAUGUAAAGUGCCUUCGAAGAGUCGAGUUGUUUGGGAAUGCAGCUCUAAGUGGGUGGUAAAUUCCAUCUAAAGCUAAAUAUUGGCGAGAGACCGAUAGCGCACAAGUA